rnacentral:rRNA from 1 species
CACGUAGGGGGCGAGCGUUGUCCGGAAUUACUGGGCGUAAAGCGCACGCAGGCGGUCUAGUAAGCAGUGGGUGAAAUUCCGGGGCUCAACCCCGGCGCUGCUCGCUGAACUGCUAGACUAGAGUACGGGAGAGGGCAAUGGAAUUGCUGGUGUAGCGGUGGAAUGCGUAAAUAUCAGCAAGAACACCGGUGGCGAAGGCUGUUGCCUGGAACGUUACUGACGCUGAGGUGCGAAAGCUAGGGGAGCAAACGGG